rnacentral:tRNA from 1 species
CAGAUAUUAGUUUAUUAAAAUUUUAAUUUUGGAGAUUAAAGAUAAGAGGUUUCUUAUAUCUGA